CAUUUUAUAUAUAUAUAUAUAUAUAAUAUAUAAAAUAAUAAUUAAAUAUUGGGGAAACUUCAAAUACUCCUCGUGGUUUCGCAUUUUUCCACUUUAUUACCCUGUGGUUUAAAGUGUAUCAAGUUAGUACCGUGUGAUUUCGCACUUUCUCACUUUAGUACCUUGUGUUUCAAGUGUUUCAAGUUAGUACCCUGUAAUUUUAUUUUUGUAUCAAUUUAGUAUCCUGAGGUUUUAAUUUUUUUUCUUUUUAUUAUCCCAUUUCGGAGUAUAUAAUUUAACGAAAUAUUAAACCACAGGGUACUAAAGUGAGAAAGUGCGAAACCACAAAAUACUAACUUGAUACACUUGAAACCACAGAAAACUAAAGUGAGAAAUUGCGAAAUCACGGGUUACUAACUUGAUACAUUUUAAAUCACAGAGUACUAAAAGUAAAAAAGUACGAAACUACAGAGGAGAUAUUUGAAGUUUUUUCUUAAAUAUUUAUGACAUUGUUUUCAACUGAAACACUCCUCU
rnacentral:lncRNA from 1 species